GUACUUAUCAUUUUUCUGUCUUUGCCCUUUAAUUUUGUUUCCUCUUCAAUGUUCUAUCCUAUUUGGGGCCUUAUUUUAUUUUUUAAUUCAAAAAUGUCUGUUAGCAGUUAAGAAAACAAAAGCAAAUAAAAAAUGCACAUGAUAGCUAGAUUUAGAAUAUAUCUAGUGUGUUUUCUGUCUCGGCAAUGGAGGGUUCUAGAAACUCUUGAAAACCUUCAUUACAUAAGUUCCUUAAAAUGCUGAUUAAGAAAUAAGACCUUCCUUCCUCAUCUUUCAAGCUGCACAGCUAAUUGUCAAGAAAGUGAGGGGAAAUCCUCAGAAGCCAAGUCAACCAGAAAGCAGGGAUUCUGGGAGAUACACGAGCCUUAGAAGCCCUGGGGGCCAGUUGGCUCCUGAACUGAGUUUCAGUUGCCUUGACAGGAGGGCAGGAGGUGAGCCCCAGGCCUCUCACACUGGGAGUUGGAUGGCUGUUCUUAUGUAAGGCCAAGCACAUCCUGAGAAUCCUGCUUUAUAAAAGGGUGAAUUAGAAAGAAAAGUAAAAAAGCAUUCCUCAAGUCAAGGAAGUAAGGAAAGUCAAUUUUUUUGGAAGCGGGGAAAAAUAACAUAUCCAAUGUAAGUAUUUAGUUUAAAUCUGUUCUGGCAUGAGACUGACAACAAACUCCUGGCAGAAAAUCACAGCUCCUCCUGGAAAGAGAAGUUGUGUUUUGAAUGAAUCAGUGGGCAGCCAUUUAGAAAAAUGUCUCCAGAGUCUUCUGGAUCAAGAUACUGGACCCAAACACCUCCCUUCCAUGGUCUCAUUUAAAUAACCAGAAAGGUUUUAAAGGAAAGAAGCCAUAAUCAUAGUUCUAUUUAUUGACAUUAAUAUAUGCUAGGAAUUCAGAUGUGACUAUGGAGUUGUCACCUCUUUUAUGGACCUUACUUUCUAUUUGACAUAGUUGGGGAACUUGGUGGAGGGUGGUGUUAGACUGUUGCAAUUAGCCAGGACAGGAGAUUAAGAAAGCAGUGAAGGGCGGGUGACAUUUUUAGCUGAGGACAGUCCUGUUCAGUUGGUUUGUAAUUGCAGGCUCGUUGAGUUGUCACUGGAGGGAAUUGAUCUUAUGGAGUUUGGACUUAACUCAGGCCUCUUCAGAAUGGACAAGUGAACCUGGAGAAAGACAGUCAAAUCUGUGCAGACAUUAAAGUCCACGUGAACGUGCUGUAUCCCUGAGCCAAAGAUAGGACAAGUAGGCAGCACUUCUUGAGGACAGAGGAGUGGUUUUUAAGGUUCUCCAAGAAUGAAGCCCAGGGAACCGGGAUGGCCAGUUGUCAAACUGUGACGUUGCUCUUUGGACGGUGUACCCACCGAGGUUAUUGGCCGUUAAUAGGUUUCCAUUUCUCUUUAAUGCAUGACAGGUGAUGAGGACGUGGGCAUACACUUUUGACACCUUGUCAAAGUGACUGGGUACCUGCCUAGAAGGGCGGGCACAGCUACGGCUGCGCCAUACAUCUUGCCGCCCAUCCCGUUCCCCGGCUCCGUGAUCACGGCAGAGUGGUUCCUUGUUGAGCUGUCCGUCUCCUCUGUGACAUCGUAACCCAACAAAUUACCGGAGCGUAUUAGCUAGGCUUUGUUCUUUUCCAUCCUUCCCUUCAAAUGAUGAUGACUGAUAAUGGACCCAGUUACGUUUGCAGAUGAUUUACACGUAGUGCUGUCAAUACAAACCUUGUAAUCCCCACUGUGUGAUCUAGAGAAGAAAGUUACAUUCUUUCCAAAUUGUUUUGAUGCACUUAUGUGGGAAAAUGAUGUACGUUUGAAUAUGUAUUUCCUCUCUGAAUAACCAUGGCUACAGAUGAAUAUUUGUAGACAUGGAAUGAGUUUACUGUAUUUGAACUGUAUGGUCCCCUAAAUUCUCCCCAGCUUUUUAAAGUCAUCACUGGAGUGCUACCUCCACAGUGUCCCAAAGCAUCCACCACUGCCUGUUCUUCAGACACUGUGAGUUUCCAAGUUGGAGAAGGCUGCUGGCUGUUGAGGCAUUCUCUGGCACAUCUCUGGCUGGCUGAUGUGAGCUUAGCACACAAGACUUGGCAGACAGUAUCUAACCAUGGUCACGUCCAUUUCUGGAACACUCAUGGAGGAUUUUACACCUAUGCUAGUGGCAUACGUUAUUUCUUUUAGUUUUCAAAACAAUCAUAAUUAGAUUUUAUCACCUGUAUUAAUAAGGAAACUGUCAAAGCGAGUGAUGUGCAGACUUUGGACUGGAACACGGGUCUUUCUGAUCCCUAUCUCUGUUCCCUCCCCAGCCUAUCCUUCCAAAUGUCCAGGAGACUCUUCCUCAGUCUUGAGUUUCCCGCUGAUGUUACCACUGUCUUUGUUUCUGGAGAGGAAAACAAGUCUAAACUUACUUUCCAGUUGGAAAUGGAAUGGAGAGUUAACGUUGGAAGCCGGGAGAGUCUGUCCUGUGAUGAAGCGGUCUCUGAGCCACUUCCAUGGGGACGUCACGUCACUGUCUGGGCCCCUUGCACAGCCUGUGCACAGCAUUCCUAGGAGAGAAUUCAGCAGUGCAGCAUCCUCUCCGAGCUCUAUGAGUUGAUCGGCUUCCACCGCAAGUCCGCCUUCUUCAAGCGGGUGGCCCCCGUGCAGCGCGCGGCCCCCGGCAUCCCAGAGCCUGGCGGGAAGGUCUUCUCCCGACUCCUUCUGCAGACGCUUCCUGGCUACAGUCUGUCGCGGGAUCUGCAGGACUUCAGCAAAGGUGUUGGAACUAAAACAUUGCUUCAGUCCCAUUAACCAUGCCUGGUUUGGGCCCUGCUGUCCUGUCUCAUCAGGGUGAAUUCUGAUUCGUUUAGAAUAGGGCUCAGCAGACUUUUUCUGUCAAGAGCUUGGGAGUAAAUAUUUCAGGGUCUGCAAACCUCCUGAUCUCUGGUGCAGCUGCUCAGCUCUGCUGUUCAGACGCCAGAGCAUCCGGACAUUCCACACACCCACAGAGCUUUAUUAACAGCGGUGUCUGGGGCUGGAUUCAGUGUAUGAACUGCAGUUUGUCCCCACAGCCUCCUCACUAUUGACGCCUGCACCAGAGCAUGCAUUUGCGACAAUGGGUGAACCUGCACUGACACGUCAUCAUCACCCAGAGCCCAGACUUAACACUAGGAUUUACACUUGGUGGUGUGCACUCUGUGGGUUUGGACAUAUGUGCAAUGACAUGUAUCCACCGUCACAGCAUCAUACAGAGUAGUCUGUCUUAGUGACCUUAAAAUGCUCUGUGCUGCACCUCAUUCAUUGCUCCUUCCCCUCUAGCCUCUGACAGCCACUGAUCUUUUAGUCUCUGUGGUUUUCCCUUUCCCAGAACACCAUACAGUUGGAAUCAGACAGUUGCGGAACCUUCCCAGAUUGGCUUCUUUCACUUAGUAAUAUGCAUUUAAGGUUCCUCCAUGUCUUUCCAUGCCUUGAUAACUCAUUUCAUUUUAGCACCAAAUAAUAGUCCAUUUUCUGGCUGGACCACAGUUAAUCCAUUCACCUACUGAAGAACAGCUUAGUUGCUUCUGAGUUCUGGUGAUUAUGAAUAAAGCUGCUAUUAACAUCUGUAUGCAGUUUUGUGUGUGGACAUAAGUUUCCAUUUCGUCGAGUAAACACCAAGGAGCACAGUUGCCGGAUCAUGUGUUAGGAGUACGUUUAGUUUUGUAAAAAAUUGCCAGACCGUCUUCCAAAGUAUCUGGGCCAUUUUACAUUCCCACCAGCAAUGCAUGAGAAUUCCUUAUGCUCCACAUCCUCACCAGCAUUUGGUGCUGUCAGUGUUCAGAGUUUUGGCAGUUCUGACAGGUGUGCAGUGGUACCUCGCUGUUUCAGUCUGCAUCCCCUUGAUGACAGAUGCUGUGGAGCAUCUUUCCAUAGACUUCUUUGGCAUCUAGAUUUUUUCUUUGAUGAGAUCUGUGUCAGGAAUUUUGCUCAUUUUUUAAUCAGGUUGUUCAUCCUUCUUGUUGAGUUUAAAGAGAUUUUGGUAUAUUCUGGAUAUCAGCCCUUUAUCAAUGUGUCCCUGCCCUUCACCUGCAGCACCGGAGUUGUCCUUUGGGUCUCAGUGGAGUGUCAGCUCUUCAAAGAGGUUCCCUGUCUUCCCUCAGCCUAAAUACUGUCCUUGUAUUUUUCACUUUCAUUGACUCAUUUUGUUCUUUUUAAAUAGCAUUUCCCAUAAUUUGUAAUUAUAUUAAAAAAAAGGGCAAUGAUUGAACACCACCUCCCCACCAGGCUGUGUGCCCUGUGAGAGCAGAGGCCCUGUCCCCACUCACCAUUUCCCAUGACAGCACAUGGCACAUGUCCAUGUAAAAGUGUGUAACGUGGGGCCAAACCUGAUGAGCAGCUAUGAUGACAUGUGUUGGCUACCAUUUAUUGAGUAGACUUUGUUUCUGAUGUAAAUUAUUAAAUCACAUGAAUUAAACUUGUUUGUUUUGAAAAAUAAAACAACAAAGCCCACCUCCA